GGCAGGCCAGGUGAACAUUUACAGCUGCAACUACAGGUGCGAUGCAAUGAACUCACUGCUCUCACCUCAAAGGCUGUGUCAAGUACCUGGGUGCAUAGCACAAGGAAAAAGACUCAUUCUCAGUAAUGUUAGGGGGUGCACACCUACCUUUGCAACACACCUUCAGAACUGGGGAUAAUUAAUGUUUGAUGAUUGUCAAGUGGAAAAAAAAAUUAACAAAGGACUUCAAAAUUUGCCCUGAUGAAGUUCUUCUCUUCCAAGAGCACUAACUGACAAGGGCUUAUUAAAAAUGGUUUUGUUUGCAUAAUAUUUCAAGAUGUGUGCAAAUGUUCAGAGCAUGCUGUAAUUAAAGAAUCAGCACAAGGGGUGUUUCCACAUGAAAUUAAUUGUAUACUAAAUGGGACUGGAAGUCAGAGUUCCUUGAAACAGCAGAUGGAGCACUGCAGUAAACCCAUCCAGUUCUUGGCCAUGGCCUUGAACAUUGUAUUACUACUACUUUCAUGUUGCUUUUUGUCAAACCCAAGAUGACCUGAAGCAAUGGACAUCUUCCCUGUUGUGAAAAUGAAAACAAAUAAACAAAUAAACAAAAA
rnacentral:lncRNA from 1 species